rnacentral:sRNA from 1 species
AAAAGAAAAACACCCUUUUUUGGAUUAUCUAGGACCGAUCACUCCUCUCUAACUAUGACCAUUCCUCCCAAAAAUCGUCCUAAAACCUUCUUGUGCUCUCUGAUGAUAGCAAGUUGCUUUUCCUGUUCGUAAAUAAUCAAACCUACGAAUGGUAAUCCCAUUGCCAUGAUUAGAUCUGUAACACCCUCGGGAGUUGACCACAUCGAUUUCACAUAUCUUGCUACCGCACCCACCACCAUGACUGGAUUUCUAACUGUAAUUAACUGCUCUUACGAAAAGAAUAAACAUAAAC